CCUACGGGCGGCAGCAGUGGGGAAUAUUGCACAAUGGGGGAAACCCUGACGCAGCGAUGCCGCGUGAAUGAAGAAGUAUUUCGGUAUGUAAACCUCUUUCAGCCGGGACGAAAAUGACGGUACCUGCCUAAGAAGCACCGGCUAACUACGUGCCAGCAGCCGCGGUAAUACGGAGGGGGCGAGCGUUAUCCGGAUUUACUGGGCGUAAAGGGAGCGUAGACGGCAGGGCAAGUCUGGAGUGAAAGGCGGGGGCUCAACCCCCGGAAUGCUCUGGAAACUGCCAGGCUGGAGUGCAGGAGAGGUAAGUGGAAUUCCUAGGGUAGCGGUGAAAUGCGUAGAUAUUAGGAGGAACACCAGUGGCGAAGGCGGCUUACUGGACUGUAACUGACGUUGAGGCUCGAAAGCGUGGGGAGCAAACAGGAUUAGAUACCCUUGUAGUA
rnacentral:rRNA from 1 species